rnacentral:rRNA from 1 species
UACGUAGGUGGCAAGCGUUGUCCGGAAUUAUUGGGCGUAAAGCGCGCGCAGGCGGCUCUUUAAGUCUGAUGUGAAAGCCCACGGCUCAACCGUGGAGGGUCAUUGGAAACUGGGGGACUUGAGUACAGAAGAGAAGAGUGGAAUUCCACGUGUAGCGGUGAAAUGCGUAGAGAUGUGGAGGAACACCAGUGGCGAAGGCGACUCUUUGGUCUGUAACUGACGCUGAGGCGCGAAAGCGUGGGGAGCAAACAGG